CCUACGGGAGGCAGCAGUGGGGAAUUUUGGACAAUGGGGGCAACCCUGAUCCAGCAAUGCCGCGUGAGUGAAGAAGGCCUUCGGGUUGUAAAGCUCUUUUGUGGAACGUGCGGUACCUGAAGAAUAAGCACCGGCUAACUACGUGCCAGCAGCCGCGGUAAUACGUAGGGUGCAAGCGUUAAUCGGAAUUACUGGGCGUAAAGCGUGCGCAGGCGGUUAUGUAAGACAGAUGUGAAAUCCCCGGGCUCAACCUGGGAAUUGCAUUUGUGACUGCAUGGCUAGAGUGUGUCAGAGGGGGGUAGAAUUCCACGUGUAGCAGUGAAAUGCGUAGAUAUGUGGAGGAAUACCGAUGGCGAAGGCAGCCCCCUGGGAUAAACUGACGCUCAUGCACGAAAGCGUGGGGAGCAAACAGGAUUAGAUACCCUUGUAGUC
rnacentral:rRNA from 1 species